rnacentral:rRNA from 1 species
ACAACGGAGAGUUUGAUCCUGGCUCAGGACGAACGCUAGCGGGGGGCUUAACACAUGCAAGUCGAGCGAGAAAGUCACCUUCGGGUGGCGAGUAGAGCGGCGAACGGGUGAGUAACGCGUAGGCAAUCUGCCUCAUGGUGGGGGAUAACCAGUUGAAAGACUGGCUAAUACCGCAUGUUAUUCGAGCAUCACAUGAUAUUCGAAUCAAAGAUUUAUCGCCAUGAGAUGAGCCUGCGUCCCAUUAGCUUGUUGGUAAGGUAACGGCUUACCAAGGCUACGAUGGGUAGCUGGUCUGAGAGGAUGAUCAGCCACACUGGGACUGAGAUACGGCCCAGACUCCUACGGGAGGCAGCAGUGAGGAAUAUUGCGCAAUGGACGAAAGUCUGACGCAGCCACUCCGCGUGCGGGAUGAAGCCCUUGCGGGUGUAAACCGCUGUUAGGAGGGACGAAUGCCCUGUUUUUGACAGGGAGAGACGGUACCUCCAGAGAAAGCUCCGGCUAACUCCGUGCCAGCAGCCGCGGUAAUACGGGGGGAGCAAGCGUUGUCCGGAAUCACUGGGCGUAAAGAGCGUGUAGGCGGGAAGAUCAGUCAGAGGUGAAAUGUCGAAGCUCAACUUCGAACCUGCCUUUGAUACUGUCUUUCUUGAGUACGGUAGAGGGAAGCGGAACUCCAGGUGUAGCGGUGGAAUGCGUAGAUAUCUGGAAGAACACCGGUGGCGAAGGCGGCUUCCUGGCCCGUAACUGACGCUGAGACGCGAAAGCGUGGGUAGCAAACAGGAUUAGAUACCCUGGUAGUCCACGCCGUAAACGUUGUGUGCUUGGCCUGGGGGGAUUCAACCCCCUCCGGGUCGGAGCUAACGCGUUAAGCACACCGCCUGGGGACUACGGCCGCAAGGCUAAAACUCAAAGGAAUUGACGGGGGCCCGCACAAGCGGUGGAGCAUGUGGCUUAAUUCGAGGCAACGCGAAAAACCUUA